GGUAAAUUAGCUCAGCGGUCGAGUGUGUGCCUAGCACGCACAAGGUCCUGGGUUCAAUUCCCAGUAUGUCUG
rnacentral:tRNA from 1 species